AUGAAGGAGUGUAGUGAGAGAGACCUGCUCUACCUCUCACCCAGAGAGAGACCUGCUCUACCUCCUCACCCAGAGAGACCUGCUCUACCUCUCACCCAGAGAGAGACUGCUCUACCUCCUCACCCAGAGAGAGAGACCUGCUCUACCGCCUCAUCCGAGAGAGAGAGACCUGCCUCUACCGCCUCAUCCAGAGAGAGAGACCUGCUCUACCGCCUCACCCAGAGAGAGCGACUGCUCUACCUCCUCACCCAGAGAGAGAGACUGCUCUACCUCCUCACCCAGAGACCGCUCUACCUCCUCACCAGAGGACUGCUCUACCCCCCUCACCCAGAGACCUGCUCUACCCCCUCACCCAGAGCCUGCUCUACCCCCUACCCAGAGACCUGCUCUACCCCCUCACCCAGAGACCUGCUCUACCUCCUCACCCAGAGACCUGCCUACUCCACCGAGAGACCGCUACCGCCUCACCCAGGAGAGACCUGCUCUACCGCCUCACCCAGAGAGAGGCCUGCUCCACUCCUCACCCAGAGAGAGAGACCUGCUCUACCGCCUCAUCCGAGAGAGAGAGACUGCUCUACCGCCUACCAGAGAGAGAGACCUGCUCUACCUCAUCACCCAGAGACCUGCUCUACCUCUCACCCAGAGACCUGCUCUACCUCUCACCCAGAGACCUGCUCUACUCUCACCCAGAGACCUGCUCUACCUCUCACCCAGAGACCUGCUCUACCUCUCACCAGAGACCUGCUUCUACCUCACCCCAGGACUGCUCUACCUCUCACCAGGACCUGCUCUACCUCAUCCCCCAGAGACCUGCUCUACCUCAUCACCCAGAGACUGCUCUACCUCAUCACCCAGAGACUGCUCCCACUCCUCACCCAGAGACCUGCUCUACCUCCUCACCCAGAGACUCCUCCACCUCCUCACCCGAGACCUGCUCUACCUCCUCACCCAGAGACCUGCUUACUCCUCACCCAGAGAGACCUGCUCUACCUCCUCACCCAGAGAGAGACCUGCUCUACCUCUCACCAGAGAGACCUGCUCUACCUCCUCACCCAGAGGGACCUGCUCUACCUCCUCACCCCGAGAGAGACCUCUCUACCUCCUCACCCAGAGAGAGACCUGCUCUACCUCCUCACCCAGAGAGAGACCUGCUCUUACCUCCCUCACCCAGAGAGAGACCUGCUCUACCUCCUCCACCCAGAGAGACCUGCUCUACCUCUCACCCAGAGACCUGCUCAUCCCUCACCAGAGAGACCUGCUCUACCUCCUCACCCAGAGAGAGACCUGUCUACCUCCUACCAGAAGAGAGACCUGCUCUACCUCCUCACCAGAGAGACCGCUCUACCUCCUCACCCAGAGAGAGACCUGCUCUCCUCCUCACCCAGAGAGGAGACCUGCUCUACCUCCUCACCCGAGAGCGACUGCUCUACCUCCUCACCGAGAGAGACCUGCUCCUACCUCUCCUUCACCCAGAGAGAGACCUGCUCUACCUCUCACCCAGGAGAGACUGCUCUACCUCCUCACCCGAGAGAGACCUGCUCUACCUCCUCACCCAGAGAGAGACCUGCUCUACCUCCUCACCCAGAGAUAGGACCUGCCUCUACCUCUCACCCAGAGAGAGACCUGCUCUACCUCCUCACCCAGAGAGAGACCUGCUCUAUCCUCACCCAGAGAGGACCUGCUCUACCUCCUCACCCAGAGAGAGACCUGCUCUACCUCCUCACCCAGAGAGGAGACCUGCUCUACCUCCUCACCCAGAGAGAGACCUGCUCUACCUCCUCACCCAGAGAGAGAGACCUGCUCUACCUCCUCACCCGGAGAGAGAGACCUGCUCUACCUCCUCACCCAGAGAGAGACAUGGCUCUACCGCUCCUCCAGAGAGAGAGACCUGCUUCUACCGGCCUCUCCAGAGAGAGAGACCUGCUCUACCGCCUCAUCCAGAGAGAGACCUGCUUACCGCCUCACCCAGAGAGAGAGACCUGCCUACCGCCUCAUCCAGAGAGAGAGACUGCUCUACCGCCUCAUCCAGAAGGAGAGACCUGCUCUACGCCUCACCCAGAGAGAGAGACCUGCUCUACCUCAUCACCCAGAGACAUGCUCUACCUCUCACCAGAGACCUGCUCUACCCUCUCACCCAGAGACCUGCUCACCUCUCACCCAGC
rnacentral:lncRNA from 1 species